rnacentral:rRNA from 1 species
GACGAACGCUGGCGGCGUGCUUAACACAUGCAAGUCGAACGGAAAGGCCCUGCUUGCCGGGUGCUCGAGUGGCGAACGGGUGAGUAACACGUGGGUGAUCUGCCCCUUACUUUGGGAUAAGCCUGGGAAACUGGGUCUAAUACUGGAUAGGACCAUGCUGUAGGUGGUGUGGUGGAAAGAUUAGUUUCGGUAAGGGAUGAGCUCGCGGCCUAUCAGCUUGUUGGUGGGGUAAUGGCCUACCAAGGCGUCGACGGGUAGCCGGCCUGAGAGGGUGGACGGCAACAUUGGGACUGAGAUACGGCCCAGACUCCUACGGGAGGCAGCAGUGGGGAAUAUUGCACAAUGGGCGCAAGCCUGAUGCAGCGACGCCGCGUGGGGGAUGACGGCCUUCGGGUUGUAAACUCCUUUCAGCCAUGACGAAGCCCUUGUGGUGACGGUAGUGGUAGAAGAAGCACCGGCUAACUACGUG